UAAUAACUUUUUUUCUUUUCUGAUUUGUUCGUGUGUAAUCUUGGGCAAGAGCUUAGUUGUGUGAAGAUAAUUUUUGGAAGUUCGGAGCUUCUAAGAAGAAAUGUGCAAGAUAUCGAGAGAGAUAAUAGGAGGAGGCAAAAACCGGAGGCUAUGAAAGAAGACACUGUGGAUGAAGUUAGUGAGAAUGAGAUCAAGGUAGUGCAUUUUGAGGAGUCAAUGAAAUAUAGUCAUAGAAGUUCUAGUGGUGCUUCUUUGCACAAAAUACUUCAGCAGUCUUGUGGUUUUGGCUCUGAAUUCCAGUUUGAAGGUACUACCUUUCUUUACUCCCAUGCUUUGUUUCCUAGCCUUAGUUGUUUUUGUGUAUGACAUAGUAUCACAUAUACUACCAAAUCUCAUGUAAUAUAUAUUAAUUCCUUUUCAUUAUCUCCUCAAGCAAGUUACAUACUUUUUCUUUUAUUAAA